UCAAUUUAUUCUAAAAUCAUUGAAAGAUUAUCAAAGUCGACUUGUAAUAGUUAUUCCGUUAGAAAGAAGAACAAAAAAAUUACGAGAUAGAGCCAUCUUUAUUUUGACAGUCAUGGUAAGUCAUACAUGGAUUUGGCUGAGAAAAUAAACGAAUCAGCUUUUUUCUCUUUGUUGGAUGAAGAGAAAGAGAGCGUAAAAAUGUCAAAAGAUUGUACAAGUUUUGGAGACGCAGUUGAUCAAGAAGAUGAUGUAUACUCUCUGUUGUCCGUUGUUGUACUUUCAGGUGCAUCCGUUACAUCGAUUUCUCCUCCUCCAGAGACUUGAUGUGGUGCUUGUGAUUCUGAUGAAAACAAAAAACCACAGUUUUGGACCAAUUUUUAAAUAAAUAAUCAAUCUGCAAUUCCUCAUAUAGAAUUGAUUUUUUUGGUCGACCCUCUGCAAAAGAAGUUUGGAUAAUUGCUUAAAUAUAGAGUGGACCACCCUUCUCCCUUGUGAGUUGUGACUAGAUCUUGAGAAUCAAUGGACAAUGCAAAUAUGCAAGAUAUCAGAGAGGUAUAUGCUCAAGAUAUUGUUUUACGCUUGGAGUAUACAAGCAGCUUUGUAAGCUUUUGUAUAUAUAAAGGCAUUACUGAUUUUCUUGCAGAAUGACCCAAAGCGAUCAUAUGAGACGGCAUGCACAUACUCGUGUAUAUAUAAACAUGUAUGACCCAUGAUGGACGGUAGACAGAUGUGAGGGAAAAAAAAAUAGACAGCACAGUUCACAUGGACAUGACGCAAUUGCAUAUAUCCCAUGUGCCCAAUCAUUCACUCUCUUUUUAUAACAUUCCAUUUAAUCUUCCGUACUCUUAUAUAUGCAUGAUCUCACUAGCAAUUUCGUUUUAUUGUUUCUACAAUACGAUGUAGUACUUAGGGGACUUGGAUCAUGGUUCGAUGAUGAAUGCAUUUUCACAUUGGACAUGCAUGGUGAUAAACAAUGUCGUUUGAGCAAACAGAACACUGAACUACUUAAUGACGUACCGGUUGAAGAAGAUAUUGGCUCUUGGGAAGAAGGGGCAUUAGAGAAAGUAGUAGGAACCCCGAAAUUG
rnacentral:lncRNA from 1 species